rnacentral:rRNA from 1 species
UUCUGGCAUCGAUGAAGAACGCAGCGAAAUGCGAUAAGUAAUGUGAAUUGCAGAAUUCAGUGAAUCAUCGAAUCUUUGAACGCACAUUGCGCCCGUCAGUAUUCUGGCGGGCAUGCCUGUUCGAGCGUCAUUUCAACCAUCAAGCCCCCAGGCUUGUGUUGGGGCACUGCGGCUGCCGCAGGCCCCUAAAAGCAGUGGCGGACUCGCUGUCAUACCGAGCGCAGUAACAUAUCUCGCUCAGGGCGUGGCGGCGGGCACCGGCCGUAAAACACACCAAACCUAAGGUUGACCUCGGAUCAGGUAGGAAUACCCGCUGAACUUAAGCAUAUCAAUAAGCGGAGGA